rnacentral:rRNA from 1 species
CAGUCGCCGCGGUAAUACGUAGGUGGCAAGCGUUGUCCGGAAUUAUUGGGCGUAAAGGGCUCGCAGGCGGUUUCUUAAGUCUGAUGUGAAAGCCCCCGGCUCAACCGGGGAGGGUCAUUGGAAACUGGGAAACUUGAGUGCAGAAGAGGAGAGUGGAAUUCCACGUGUAGCGGUGAAAUGCGUAGAGAUGUGGAGGAACACCAGUGGCGAAGGCGACUCUCUGGUCUGUAACUGACGCUGAGGAGCGAAAGCGUGGGGAGCGUACAGGAUUAGAUACCCCAGUAGUCCCUGUCUCUUAUAC